UACGAAGGGGGCUAGCGUUGCUCGGAAUCACUGGGCGUAAAGCGCACGUAGGCGGAUCUUUAAGUCAGGGGUGAAAUCCUGGAGCUCAACUCCAGAACUGCCUUUGAUACUGGGGAUCUCGAGUCCGGAAGAGGUGAGUGGAACUCCGAGUGUAGAGGUGAAAUUCGUAGAUAUUCGGAAGAACACCAGUGGCGAAGGCGGCUCACUGGUCCGGUACUGACGCUGAGGUGCGAAAGCGUGGGGAGCAAACAGG
rnacentral:rRNA from 3 species